AUGCCGUCCAUGACUCUUGCCGCUCCUGAUGGGGGGCAUGGGUUCAAGCCGUGUAGUCCGGCACGUCGUCGACGUUGUUGGUUUGCCGACCAGAGCCGGGUUGUUCGCAACCUGGUUUUGGGCACCUCCUUGGGAUGCGCUCUCACCAGUGCGCCCAAUGACCACCGAGCAAGCACGCGUUGUCGUUGGCGACGUGCGGCAGCAGCCUUCGCGGCACUGCUCAUUGUAGGCACAGGUUACCUCGCGUAGCUACAGUUUACUAUGGGAAGCNNNNNNNNUGCGCUGCGCAACACACCA
rnacentral:precursor_RNA from 1 species